rnacentral:rRNA from 3 species
UGGGGAAUAUUGCACAAUGGAGGGAACUCUGAUGCAGCGACGCCGCGUGAACGAAGAAGGCUUUCGAGUCGUAAAGUUCUUUUAUAUGGGAAGAUAAUGACGGUACCAUAAGAAAAAGCCCCGGCUAACUACGUGCCAGCAGCCGCGGUAAUACGUAGGGGGCUAGCGUUGUCCGGAAUCACUGGGCGUAAAGGGUUCGCAGGCGGAAAUGCAAGUCAGGUGUAAAAGGCAGUAGCUUAACUACUGUAAGCAUUUGAAACUGCAUAUCUUGAGAAGAGUAGAGGUAAGUAGAAUUUUUAGUGUAGCGGUGAAAUGCGUAGAUAUUAAAAAGAAUACCGGUGGCGAAGGCGACUUACUGGGCUCAUUCUGACGCUGAGGAACGAAAGCGUGGGUAGCAAACAGG